rnacentral:rRNA from 1 species
GAUGAACGCUAGCUACAGGCUUAACACAUGCAAGUCGAGGGGCAGCACAGUGUAGCAAUGCAUGGGUGGCGACCGGCGCACGGGUGCGUAACGCGUAUCCAACCUUCCCGUUACUCUUGGAUAGCCUUCCGAAAGGGAGAUUAAUACAAGAUGGUAUUCAAAUUCCGCAUGUUAUUUGAAUUAAAGAUUUAUCGGUAACGGAUGGGGAUGCGUGACAUUAGAUAGUAGGCGGGGUAACGGCCCACCUAGUCUACGAUGUCUAGGGGUUCUGAGAGGAAGGUCCCCCACACUGGAACUGAGACACGGUCCAGACUCCUACGGGAGGCAGCAGUGAGGAAUAUUGGUCAAUGGUCGGAAGACUGAACCAGCCAAGUAGCGUGAAGGAUGAAGGUUCUAUGGAUUGUAAACUUCUUUUAUACGGGGAAUAAAACACCUUACGUGUAGGGUCUUGUAUGUACCGUAUGAAUAAGCAUCGGCUAACUCCGUGCCAGCAGCCGCGGU